AUUGAACGCUGGCGGCAUGCCUUACACAUGCAAGUCGAACGGUAGGGGGAGCAAUCCCCUGAGAGUGGCGAACGGGUGAGUAAAGCAUCGGAACGUGCCCAGUUGUGGGGGAUAACUACUCGAAAGAGUGGCUAAUACCGCACACGACCUGAGGGUGAAAGCGGGGGACCGAAAGGCCUCGCGCAGUUGGAGCGGCCGAUGUCAGAUUAGCUAGUUGGGGGGGUAAAGGCCCACCAAGGCGACGAUCUGUAGCUGGUCUGAGAGGACGACCAGCCACACUGGGACUGAGACACGGGCCAGACUCCUACGGGAGGCAGCAGUGGGGAAUUUUGGACAAUGGGCGCAAGCCUGAUCCAGCCAUGCCGCGUGCAGGAAGAAGGCCUUCGGGUUGUAAGCUGCUUUUGUACGGAGCGAAAAGGCUUCCACUAAUACUGGGGGCUCAUGACGGUACCGUAAGAAUAAGCACCGGCUAACUACGUGCCAGCCGCCGCAGUAAUAC
rnacentral:rRNA from 1 species